UAAUAAGAAGGCCGUGGUCCUUCUUUCAGUGAUGUACAUAUGCAGAUCAAAGAGGAACCUGUGAUCUUAUGUUCAGGGGUUGUGCAUGUGCAUGGUGAGCAUAUUUGAGAGGAGCACACAGGCUUCUGUUUUUGUCUACUUUCCAGUCAUGACCCUACCAGACUAAUGUCACGUACGCAUGUUUGUUUACAAGUUUUCGCUCAAUGGUUGCAGACUGCUAAUCUGCUAAUUGAUUUAUUUACUUAUAAAUAUAGUAAAUAUAGGAUAGUAAAUAUAGGAAUAGGAAUAUAGGUAGUAAAUAUAGGAUUAAUCUGAUCAAUGUUCUUCUCUUCAACAGUAUUUCUAAGAAACUUUUUAAAUAGAUAUUUAAAUAAAUAGCUUUCUAUGUAACAACGUGCCAUCUCCAUUCUUAAAAUAUGAUAAUAAUUAUUAUUAGACUAACCAUAACCCCCCAGACUUAAAAUUACAUUAAAUUUUUAUUUAAAUUAAAUUUUACUUUUUUAAAUUGUUAAAAUGUAUUUAAAGGUACACUAUGUAACCUUUUUUGUUCAGAAUUAACAAAAUUGAAAUGAGUCAAUACAUCAUCAAUGCUUCUUUCAAAAUGUUUGGAAUGUGUGUGUGUUUUUUCUUACCCUGAUUCACUAUAGUAAGUUUGUUAUAAUUUAUAUUUUAGACAUAGCAUGAUGGUUUUCUCCUCACCUGUGCAUGUCUUGACAUAUCUAUAAAUAGAGAAAAGUUCAGGCUACAUUGAUGCAUGUGUGGUGUGGGAGUGGCAUAAGAUUGUUGUCACAAUGACUGAGAAAGGUUGACAUGGAGCUCAAACUUCUGGAGAAUUAGCCAUUUUUAAAAAAAACGCUGAACAAAGGAGAGUCUGCUGCCAAAAAGACAAAGUGGUAGAGCUUGUAAUAAAAUGAGAAUCAAUAUUGGCUUGGCUUUUUGGUGAUGGCGAGAAGAACUCAGGGAUUUGAAAUGUUGUAAAGUAACGCGGAGAUGGCAUUUUUAUUAUGCAACAAGUGAGUAAUGUAUUUUAUUGAACAGUUAAAUUGCAAUAUGUAGCUUUCUAACAGAGUUCAUUGUAAAGCAUUAUCUAUUGUGAAAGGUCAUUUCAUUAUAGGUUGUUGUAGCGCUGUGCUGGAAUUUAUUUACAAGGAAGUACUGUGUCUAUUAAUGGGUUUAGCUACACUGUUACACUGUAAUAUCGCUGUAGAUUUAGCAGCACAGUACUGUAAAAACCUACAGUAGGUACAGUAACACAUUUCUAUAUUACAGUAAAAUACUGUAAUUUAUAUUGCAUUCUGGGUCAUUUUGAUUGAGCGGGAAUAUUUUACAGUAUAUUUUAGUGUGUAACCCUGCUGUAACCCUGCUGUAAUAUACCAGGCAAUAAUACAGGAUCACACAGACAGAAGAACACAGCCGCUGGUGACUGGAGAAGCAGAACGGUGUAUUUCUGGAAGUUCGUGUGAUCCACUUGUCUUUGCAUCCUGGGAAGUGCAUUGCUGUCACAAGGAAGCAUAUGAGUAUUUUUUUCGGCAUUGAAGGGAAGAAAUGUACUGCCCGACAGGGAGUAAGCAGAAGAUCAGGACGUGGUGCAGAGUGCUGGCCAUCAACCUGCAUGUCAACAGCUUUGUUCGGUCCUUUGUGUUUAAAUGGAAGACUUCACACUGAGGGACUGUAGCCUGUUUGCAACCAUCCACGUGCCCUUCAGUUAGGGGUGAAGGUUGUGGGACACUUGUUGUUUUUGCUCACUUUUUAAGAUAAAUCAAAUUGCUGAUGCACAGUACCAGGGCCAUUGCUGAUGGGGCGAAAGAUGGUGACAAUUCUGAAAUGUUUUGAAAUGUUUAAAUAUAUUGAUUGAAUAAAAAUACAUUUUUUAAUUUA